UACAGAGGUCCCAAGCGUUGUUCGGAUUCAUUGGGCGUAAAGGGUGCGUAGGUGGCGCCGUAAGUGGGGUGUGAAAUUUCGGAGCUUAACUCCGAAACUGCAUUCCAUACUGCGGUGCUUGAGGACUGGAGAGGAGACUGGAAUUUACGGUGUAGCAGUGAAAUGCGUAGAGAUCGUAAGGAAGACCAGUGGCGAAGGCGGGUCUCUGGACAGUUCCUGACACUGAGGCGCGACAGCGUGGGGAGCAAACAGG
rnacentral:rRNA from 1 species